UGCCAGACUCCUACGGGAGGCAGCAGUGAGGAAUAUUGGUCAAUGGGCUUACGCCUGAACCAGCCAAGUCGCGUGAGGGAAGACUGCCCUAUGGGUUGUAAACCUCUUUUGUCAGGGAGCAACGCCGGCUACGUGUAGCCGGACUGAGAGUACCUGAAGAAAAAGCAUCGGCUAACUCCGUGCCAGCAGCCGCGGUAAUACGGAGGAUGCGAGCGUUAUCCGGAUUUAUUGGGUUUAAAGGGUGCGUAGGCGGAAUGCCAAGUCGGGGGUAAAAUCGCGGGGCUCAACCUCGCUCCGCCGUUGAAACUGGGUGCCUUGAGUGGGCGAGAAGUACGCGGAAUGCGUGGUGUAGCGGUGAAAUGCAUAGAUAUCACGCAGAACUCCGAUUGCGAAGGCAGCGUACCGGCGCCCAACUGGCGCUGAAGCACGAAGGCGUGGGUAUCGAACAGGAUUAGAUACCCGAGUAU
rnacentral:rRNA from 1 species